UACGAAGGGGGCUAGCGUUGCCCGGAAUCACUGGGCGUAAAGCGCACGUAGGCGGCUUUUUAAGUCAGGGGUGAAAUCCUGGAGCUCAACUCCAGAACUGCCUUUGAUACUGAGAAGCUUGAGUCCGGGAGAGGUGAGUGGAACUGCGAGUGUAGAGGUGAAAUUCGUAGAUAUUCGCAAGAACACCAGUGGCGAAGGCGGCUCACUGGCCCGGUACUGACGCUGAGGUGCGAAAGCGUGGGGAGCAAACAGG
rnacentral:rRNA from 1 species